GCGUUUUGCAUCAAAUUGUCGAGGUACCGCACACCCCUUUGACUCGUUUGGGCCGGCCUGUUUAUUUCCUGUUCGCUGUCCCCCUUCCUCCCUCGACCGCUUCAUUCGUUGUCUACAGAGAAGCUUUCCCUUUCUCCUUCGUGCCUGGAUCCCCUUUUCCUCCGUCGUUCGACCGCUUUUAUCACCUGCUUCUUCCUCCGGGAUCCUACUCCGGCAAGAGAACGCCGAUCUCGUCGCCGGUGUCUCCAGCGGCGGCGUCUGCGUCGUCUAGGGUUCCGACAAGGUCGGCGUCGUCUAGGGUUCUGACAAAGUCGGCGUAGUCUAGGCCCCCGUCAAGCUUCGUCAAGCUCGGCGUCGACAAGGUGCGAUGGGCGGAGGCAGCGACGGGGAGUGGAGCUCGUUUGGAUUGUAAGCCAGAAGUUGUCCUCGGCAUCCCGAGCUUGAUUUCCGCCUUGGAAGCCCAUCCUGCACAGGGGGUAGGGGCGUGGACGUGAGGCUCCAGGGUGCUACUACCACGUAUGGCCGGCCCCGUAGUCCCGUGGAUAAGCAGCGGUAGGGACAUACAUAGACUGAAAUAUGAACUCAACUGAACAUCUGGACUCCUGAAUCCGUGCAUAAUGUCAUGUGGAGCGUUUUUUAUUUGAUUUGGAUAUUUCUGAGAUUAGACAAGGGGUUGUGUUUAGAGAUUUCGGAUUCAGAGGUAUGAUUCAGUAUGCUAUUGUUAGGAGGUUGUGUAUUCUGGCACUUGGCCUUGGGAUUUUUGUUUUUGUUUUUUGAUGAUCGUAGGGUGGUUUGUGUAGGUUGACGUAGAAGUUUUUCUAUGUUUUAAAAAUCUUACGUUUAUUUUACGUAUUUUGUAGCAGCAACAUGGAUUAGUUCUUGAGACUUGUUAGCAUGUAUAUUAGGUUUUCUUCUAUUCAGCCGUUGGUAAGCAAGCAUCUAUUAACAUUUAGGUCGCUUGUCCAUAUUAUAGGCUGGAGUAGUUUUGUAAAUGCUAGGCCAUGAAUUUAUUCACAUGUUUGUAUUGAUAAACGAUGCAUGUGUUGCAUCCUACCCGCACGACUUUGUUUUUUUAAUGUUGAAAAGUUUUCUUUAAUUUGCAUUUGAUGCCGUAAAUAGUCCUUUGCAUGCACAGUAGAGUGUUCUGGUGUUUUAGGUAAUUUCCUCUGUUGCUCUAGGAGCAGUACUACCAUUUUUUUCACACUAUAUUUGUGAAAUUAUACAGAUAAGAAUUCUGUGGUUAAUUGCAGCAUUUUGGGUGGACAUAGUUAGUUAACAAUGAUUUUGUAGUAUGGUGUCAUUCAUCUACCAUACUUCUGUAUCAUUUUCCUUGCAAGUAUUAUCAUAACAUGAUUAUUCAUGGUGUUCUUGUCCUCUGUGUUGCUUAGCUCUUAUUUGUUUGGGCACACACACAAAAGCAGAACUUGUCUAGCAAUCCCUUUUAAGUACUAACAUAGUUGUUUGAUCUUUUUACUAUCAUUGAUAUAGUUUGUUGACCUUUUUUCUAUCCUAAUGUAUUUAAUGUUUUCAUUAUCAUGCUUUCUUCUGUGAAUAGCACAACUAUCAGUGAUUCUAAAUACUUGAAUUAUGGUCCUUGAAUAACACUUGAAUAAUGUUCCUUGGAAAAUGUUUCUCUACAUACUUGAAUUAUGUCCCCUAAUAAUGUUCACUUCGAAAUGUUCAUUCAAUAAUGUUCCUUGGAAAAUGUUCCGCCAAUAACGUUCCCUACAAAAUUGUUCCUUCAAUAUUUGAUCCCUAAAUUAUGCCCCUUUCAAUAUGUUCCCUAAAUAAUGUUCCUUGGAAAUUGUCCAUCGAAUAAUGUUCCCUAAAUACUUGAAUUAUGUUCCUUGAAUAACACUUGAAUAAUGUUCCUUGGAAAUAGUUCCCUAAAUAAUGUUCCGCCAAUAAUGAUCCCUACAAAAUUGUUCCUUCAAUAUUUGGUCCCUAAAUUAUGCCCCUUUCAAUAAUGUUUCCUAAAUAAUGUUCCUUGGAAAUUGUUCACCGAAUAAUGUUCCCUAAAUACUUGAAUUAUGUCCCCUAAUAGUGUUCACUUGGAACUAUUUCUUCGACAAAGUUUUCCGCUCAAUAUUUUGUGAUCCCUAAAUAAUGUUCCGCCAAUAGUAUUCCGCCAAUAAUGUUCCCUACAAAAUUGUUCUUUUAAUUUUUUUGUUUCAUAAAUAAUUUUCCUUUGAAACUGUUCCCUAAAUAGUGCCCCCUAAAUACUUGAAUAAUGUCCCCUAAUAAUGUUCAUUUCGAAAUGUUCCUUUGAAUAAUGUUUCUUCAAUAUUUUGGACCCUUUGUUCAAAUAGUGUUCGCUAAAUAAUGAUACUUGAAAAAAGUUUCCCUAAUUUCUUUAAUGUUCACUUCAAAUUGUUCCUUCUAUAAUGUUCCCUACAAAAUUGUUCCUUCAAUAUUUGGUCUAUAAAUAAUGUUUCUUCAAAAAUGUUCUCUACAUAAUGUUCCCUAAAUACUUGAAUAAUGUUUCCCUAAUAACGUUAUAUUUGGGAAUGUUCCUUUGAUAAAGUUUUUCGCUCAAUUUUUUGUAUGCCUCCAAUAAUGUUCCCUACAAAAUUGUUCCUUUAAUAUUUGUUUCCUAAAUAAUGUUCCUUGGAAAUAGUUCCCUAAAUAAUGUUCCGCCAAUAAUGUUCCCUGCAAAAUUGUUCCUUCAAUAUUUGAUCCCUAAAUUAUGCCCCUUUCAAUAAUGUUUCCUAAAUAAUGUUCCUUGGAAAUUGUUCACCGAAUAAUGUUCCCCCUAAAUACUUGAAUUAUGUUCCUUGAAUAACACUUGAAUAAUGUUCCUUGGAAAAUGUUUCUUUAGAGCGGAUUUUUUUACAUCAUGAACCUGUACUACAGUGGCGAUGCAUUUCUGCCUACAAUUAUUGCCGUGAUCUACAACUUCAAGCCUUUGUUUGCUGCUACAUACGGAAAUACUACUUUUAGCAUAGGAAAUUUUGAGUCGAGAUUUCUACCAGCUCUGAAAGUCAAUUUCAGGUGCCUUCUCUAUUUUUUGGAACUCUCUCAUGUGCUUUUAUAUGAGUGAUGAACAACUUCUUUGUUCUAUACUCUCAAUAAAAGAUAGAAAGUGUUUUGAAAUGUCUGGAAUUUCCAUGUCUUUCUUUUUUUGUACAGGUAUGACUCAAGAGUUUUCCUUCUUCAUAUCUUAGCAACUACAGAGGUCUUGGAAUGGAGGGUUUCUCUAAUGAUGAUCUACAAGGUCUACAUGAGAAAUUGCUUUUCGAGAUUGUCACUUGCAAGGACAAUGAAAUUCAGCUGCCAUUUGUAACUUCUUUCCUGCAGAGACAUGGUUUCCGCAUGUUCAAAUAAAGAUUUCAAGGCAAUCAUUUUUGAACCCACAUAUGAACACAUCUUAUGUACCAACUAACAUAUUUCCCUUUUUAUUAUCAAGGGUCCAAAUGCAACAGAAUUUUCCAACUCAAAGGAAUAGUACCGUGAGGGAACUCUUCUAUUUCUUUAUUAGCUGUAAAGAAGGCUCCCCAAUGAAGCUGUUCCAUUGGUUUCCCAGUGAUACUUUGUGUCAUUACUUUCAGUUGUAAAGAAGGUUUAAAUCUGCAGAAUAAGUUUGUAAAGAAGCUCAAACAUGCUUCUAUACUCAUACUUUCUUGGAUUUUCAAUGGUUUUAACUAGCAGUUGAAACAACAAAAAUCCUCUUUUGUAUGUUCCUUGUCUUUGUGUAUGGUCUUGUUGGAAAUCUUCUUCACAACAGUUCAACAAACAGUUGAAACACACAGAAACAACAGAUUACUUUUCCAGAUUGUAACUUUCAAGGAUAAUGAAAUUCAGCUUCCGUUUGUAACUUCUUUCCUGUAGAGACAUGUUAGUUCUCCAUUCCUUUUAUUCCAAGGAUAAUUGAGAAUUUUGUA